UACAGAGGUCUCAAGCGUUGUUCGGAUUCAUUGGGCGUAAAGGGUGCGUAGGCGGCGAGGCAAGUCGGAUGUGAAAGCCCGGGGCUCAACCCCGGGUCGGCCGUGGCAACUGCUGGGCUGGAGCACUGUAGAGGCAGGUGGAAUUCCGGGUGUAGCGGUGGAAUGCGUAGAGAUCCGGAAGAACACCGGUGGCGAAGGCGGCCUGCUGGGCAGUAGCUGACGCUGAGGCGCGACAGCGUGGGGAGCAAACGGG
rnacentral:rRNA from 1 species